rnacentral:tRNA from 1 species
GGUCUUAUAGUCUAAUCAUGAUUUUAAAUUGCAAAUUUAAAGAUAGAAAUUAAUUCUUAAGGCUU